UGGGAAGCUCUGAUUUAAAGGACAAACCCAAAGUAGGGUGGUGCACACACAUAAUCCUAGCACUUGGGAGGUGAGGGCAGAAGGAUCAGGAGUGCAGGACUGACUACCUUUGGUUAUAAUGGUUUAAGGCUAGACCCUGUGCUAAAAAAAAUCACACACCUCUUUCAGCAGUCAGGAUAGGGCAGAUGUAGUUCCACAAAGAACCAACAGAGUCCGCCACAGAGCAGUUCAUCAUGUGGCUGUUUAACCUUUCCAUUCAAAUCUGGGUAGCAGCAGGGGCCCAGCAGAGCUCCCUAAGAAAGCCUGUGUGGUCCCUCUCUCAAGACUCUUUCCUUUUAUUGCCCCUUUCCCUGUGUGCUAUGUUUCCUUUCCUUACCUGCAGUUGCUUCAACACCUGGAAAGCCAGCAGCUCCUGCCGAAGGUCAUCUCCACACUUGACAAUGACUGACAGGAGUCGCCAAUUGGGAAGAUGGCCAUAGGGGGAACCCUCUCUGAUCCUCCUGUGAAGAAAAGUCAUGGGGUGAUGCCCUGCAGGGAGCCUCAGUGGAUUCAAGUGUCUCACUCUACCAGCAUCAGAUAACCCAGGAGGGCCUGGGGAAGUGCUAUCAUCUUCCUUCCCUGGAUCCAGUGACCCAUGAUGAACCAGGCUCGGCUAGCAGCCAGCAUGAGAGCUUGCCAACAGUGAAUCAGAGAUGAAGACUGGAGUACCAUUAGCCUGGCUUGGACACCAGGCCUCUGAACUUGGUUAUCCACUGGGCACCUUUCCCCACUAUCUGUCAAGAUGUAUAGUAGACGGUGGCACUAAGCUACUGACCACUCUCUUCCUGCUCAGUAUCGACAUUAGAUAGCCUGAUGCUGCCGAGUUUCCUUUUCUCAGCCCCAGCUCUUCGACCAGGCAUUAGACUUACUCUGCCAAGGCUACUUUUCCCUUUUUGUUUAUCUCAAAUAAAGGCAGUAUAUUCUGUUGAGGCUCCACUGGUAGAGAAUAAAUUCUACCCUACAUUAACAAAAAGUAGGAUCUUUGGGGAGUGAGGGAAAGGAAUUAUGAGGAACGGCCAGGAGAAGCAGCUGAUGUGCUAGUUAGUAUCCUUUCUCUUCCAGCAUAGAAAGAACACAGCCCCUGUUCCUUCCCUGUGGUGGCUGAUAUGAUCUCAGCUAGGCCAGGUCUCAAGCAGGGUCAUUAGACCUGUGUCACAGUUCUUAGUAUGUGGUGAAUGGAAUGACAACACAGUUUAGUGAAAGCCAACUCUCAGACAAAGUCAAGAGUAUCAGCCCUGCCAUUAGCUAGUUGACCUGUGGGAAGACACUUUAUCUCUCAAGUCUCCGUAUUUUUCCUUUGUAAAAUGAGGCCACUGGAAUACAUGAAUUCUAAGGGUUUGUUUGUUUGUUUUUCCAUUCUAACAUUCCAUGCUUCUACCAGUGAAAUGAAACAGAAGGGAGGACAGAAAAUAGAGUGACCCCACGUAAGACAUCCUGUCUCCAUGCAGCCCUCAGACACCUUGCCGAUCUGUCCCUCUCCCAAUUUACCUCAUCCUCAUUCUCCACU